rnacentral:rRNA from 1 species
CGCGUGAGCAACCUGCCUUUAUUAGGGGGAUAACGCAUCGAAAGAUGUGCUAAUACCGCGUAAGACCACAGCUUCACAUGGAGCGGGGGUCAAAGGAGCAAUCCGGAUAAAGAUGGGCUCGCGUCCGAUUAGCUAGUUGGUGAGAUAACAGCCCACCAAGGCGACGAUCGGUAGCCGACCUGAGAGGGUGAUCGGCCACAUUGGAACUGAGAGACGGUCCAG